rnacentral:rRNA from 1 species
AACGAACGCUGGCGGCAUGCCUAACACAUGCAAGUCGAACGAGACCUUCGGGUCUAGUGGCGCACGGGUGCGUAACGCGUGGGAACCUGCCCUUAGGUUCGGAAUAACUCCCCGAAAGGGGUGCUAAUACCGGAUAAUGUCUUCGGACCAAAGAUUUAUCGCCUUCGGAUGGGCCCGCGUUGGAUUAGCUAGUUGGUAGGGUAAAAGCCUACCAAGGCGACGAUCCAUAGCUGGUCUGAGAGGAUGAUCAGCCACACUGGGACUGAGACACGGCCCAGACUCCUACGGGAGGCAGCGGUGGGGAAUAUUGGACAAUGGGCGAAAGCCUGAUCCAGCAAUGCCGCGUGAGUGAUGAAGGCCUUAGGGUUGUAAAGCUCUUUUACCCGGGAUGAUAAUGACAGUACCGGGAGAAUAAGCUCCGGCUAACUCCGU